UACGAAGGGGGCUAGCGUUGUUCGGAUUUACUGGGCGUAAAGCGCACGUAGGCGGCUUCUCAAGUCAGGGGUGAAAUCCUGGAGCUCAACUCCAGAACUGCCUUUGAUACUGAGAGGCUCGAGUCCGGGAGAGGUGAGUGGAACUGCGAGUGUAGAGGUGAAAUUCGUAGAUAUUCGCAAGAACACCAGUGGCGAAGGCGGCUCACUGGCCCGGUACUGACGCUGAGGUGCGAAAGCGUGGGAGCAAACAGG
rnacentral:rRNA from 1 species